GGGUAAUCCUAAAGUGCCCUUGGUGCAAGUAUGCUGUUGGAAACUUUUUGUUACAUUUUCUAUAAGUAACAUGUUUUAUUGUGUAAAGGUGCAAGUGUGUUCACUAGCAUUCCUAGACAUUUUUCUAAAUGGACUUUAAAAUAAGUAGACCCCUUAAUACAGAUUUACUAUUCACAGGUUUGAUCCCAGCCAAGAUAAUGAAGGGACUAGACAGCAGCAUGUGGACUAAUUAUAUUUUACUUUGUACAAUGUUAGUUAUUUAGGUAUUCAGGUUCAGAGUAUGUAGGGCAUAUGACACAGCACUAGGGUCAAACUACAUGAAGCUUUGGGGGCAGACCGGAAUAUUGAGUGAGUUUUGCUGGUAUUUCAGGAAUCACAAAGAGGGGGAAGAAAAAACAAAAAAAAAAUCCCUCCCUUCCAAGCACUCAAGUACAACUUGUCUUGAAGCCCCUCUCUGUCUCUCCCUUGUGUCUCCUGUCAGUGGCCAAGCACAGGCCUUGAUAAAUUCCUUUCUGCUCUGAAGGGCUUUCCCUAUUGUUCUUUCCUUUGUUCCACUGUUGCCAACUUGCUGGAAUUCUUGUCGUGGUUUCACAGCACGGAUCAAUUCGAACUAAACGUCACCAGCUGAGUUUCUCUAUGAGGCCGAAUCUCUGAAACUGCUUUAAUUCCACAACAAGCCUUCAACUGUGAGGAGAUCAGAGCAGGGGAGAAACAGUUGGAUAUCACUUUAGUUUCACCACCAAACCAGUUUUUUUGGGAUCACAGAAACUGUCAGCUUUGUACAUCAUUAUAAAAAGACCUGGAUUUCUGAGUCACUGAUCCAAGCAGUUUAAAGGUUUUUUAUUCUUCAAUAAAGAAAAUUUGCAAUGAUUAAGCCGCCAGACAGGGACUCAAGUGGGUGAGGAACAAGUGCCAAGGAACAAGAUACACCAUGGGAUCUCUAGUGCUGUAAAGAAUCACCAAAACAGGCUGUACUAUUAUCCAUAAGAGGGACUGAACUGAAUCUGACAACUGUGAUGCUGCUAAACUGCCUAUUUAUUCAAUAAAGAAGUUCAUCUGGU